CCCCUCUCAGGGUCGUACCUGAAGAGUUUCCAGUAUUCUACCAGUCAUGACAACAAGAGGGAGAGUCGAGCAGAGGCAUAUCCAUUCCAUUCCUAGCUUGGCCAAUGGCUAGUUAGUGGAAGCCAAUCUGCUACAAGU
rnacentral:snoRNA from 1 species